rnacentral:rRNA from 1 species
UACGUAGGUGGCAAGCGUUGUCCGGAAUUAUUGGGCGUAAAGCGCGCGCAGGUGGUUUCUUAAGUCGGAUGUGAAAUCUCCGGGCUCAACCCGGAAAUGGCAUUGGAAACUACCUUGCUGGAGGAUUUGAGGGGGGAUUGGAAUACUUGGUGUAGCAGUGAAAUGCGUAGAUAUCAAGUGGAACACCAGUGGCGAAGGCGAAUCCCUGGAAAAUACCUGACACUGAGGCACGAAAGCUAGGGGAGCAAACAGG